UUACUAAAAUGAAUUUUUUUCAUUAAAUUAGAGGUGAAGUUUUGUUCUCCAUGAAUUCUUCAAAAAUAUCUGCUGAUCAAGAAUCUAGAUUUUGUAACAUUGAUGGUACUUCUCAAAAUACAAGUAAAUCAUAUACUGCAUUUAUUCGCCAACAACAAAAUCAAAGAUAGGCGGAUAAGAGGAAUCGAAUUCAAACUCCACGCAUUGAUCGACGUAAAAGGAUAAAUGAUUCUACAUUAUCUGGAAAAAAUAAUUAAGGUGUUUCCCAUGCUCAGAAGUUUACAGUUCCUCCUAUUUUCCAGGCUUCCACUUCAAAUCAAGAAUCGACUAAUAUUGUUCAUUCUAAAGUACGAGAAUUUUCUAACCUAUUGAACAUACCAACUAAUGCAUAUGUAUUACGGACAUGGAACUACUAUGAACAUUGUGGUGCACGAAAAUUUUAUAGAGAAACUAAAGGGUUUUGUUGUUCUGAUGGAAAAGUUAAACUUUAUAUGGCUGAUUCACCGACUGAAUUGUAUGAUUUAUUUACUUCUAAAGAACUUGAAUGCAUGGAAUUGAAGAAAAUUGCACGUGGAUAUAAUAACCAUUUUGCUUUCACUUUGUUUGGUGUAAAAUGUGAUAAAGAACUUUUUAGAACAUAUAAAAGUAUUUAGACUUUUAGAGUUCAGGGACAAGUAUAUCAUUAUGUGAAUCAACUUAUGCUAGAAAAUAAUAAGCCUUCUUAUAUGUAGUUAUAUUUUUAUGAUACAGAUAACGAAAUUGAAAAUCGUAUGAAAAUUUUGUUGAAUCUACUUUGAUCAUUUUGAUUGAAAUCUUGAAAGUAAAUCCAUAUAGUAGACUCUUUAGGUCUUUAAGUAAUAUGACUAAUUUGCAUGACCAUCGAAUACAAAUAAGAUGCGAUCCUGGACUUGAUCAAAGAGUCUUCAAUAUUCCUUCAGCAUCUCAAGUAGCUGCUGUAUGGGUUGAGGAUGAUGACAAUGCAAAUAUUCGUACUCGUGAUAUUACAAUAUAUGGUCAUUCUAGUGAUUUAUAGAGUUCAUUAUUGUUAUGGUUGUUAUGAUCCUUUGCAAUAUCCUUUACUUUUCCCAUUUGGAGAAUAUGGUUGGCAUGAAGUUAUUCAAAGAUACCAAACGACAUAUUUUGAAACUCAAAAUUUGGCUGACUGGGUAGCUUUUCCUAGCGCAGUAAAUUUUGCAACCGAAAUCAUUGAAAAAGAGGCCGAAAGUUUGCUAAUACACUUUUUUGUAUGUUUUCUAACUUAUAUAAAGUAAGUGUUCUAGAUGGAUGUAAGAUGCAUUUUCUUUAUCCUCAUGCAAUGCUCAAUGGAAUGAAGAAACGAUCUUAGGUUUCUUGUCGAGAGUACUAUUCCUACAAGUUACAAAUUAGACCUUCUGGUUCUAUGAGUGGGAUUCAAAAGUUCUUUUCAAUUCUUUGCUACAUGUGUACAAUGGAAUCCUUAACGACAGCUUCAAAUUAAACUCAAGUUUGCAGAAGGUGAUCAACUAGCAAUAGCAAAGGAAACAUGGCACGGUUUGGGAAUGGAUACCAACAAAACGUAUCCUUCAUCUUCUUUACUAAGAAAUAACAAAGACAAGUCAAUUGCUGUAUUGCCCGUUGAUGAGCUGAUUGGAAAGGUUGAAAACUUUGUUAGUGUGUGCAAUCUCUCAUUA